GACGAACGCUGGCGGCGUGCUUUACACAUGCAAGUCGAACGGAAAGGCCCCUUUGGGGGUACUCGAGUGGCGAACGGGUGAGUAACACGUGAGUAACCUUCCCUUGACUUCGGGAUAACUUCAGGAAACUGGGGCUAAUACCGGAUAGGAAUCCUUGCUGCAUGGUGGGGGUUGGAAAGCUUCGGCGGUUUUGGAUGGACUCGCGGCUUAUCAGCUUGUUGGUGGGGUAGUGGCUUACCAAGGCUUUGACGGGUAGCCGGCCUGAGAGGGCGACCGGCCACAUUGGGACUGAGAUACGGCCCAGACUCCUACGGGAGGCAGUAGUGGGGAAUAUUGCACAAUGGGCGGAAGCCUGAUGCAGCAACGCCGCGUGCGGGAUGACGGCCUUCGGGUUGUAAACCGCUUUCAGCAGGGGCGAAGCUUGUGGUGACGGUACCUGCAGAAGAAGCACCGGCUAACUACGUG
rnacentral:rRNA from 1 species